rnacentral:piRNA from 1 species
UGGCUGUCCUGGAACUCAGAGAGA